rnacentral:tRNA from 1 species
GCACUUUUAGCUCAGUGGUAGAGCGUCAUCCUUCUAAGUUGAUGGUCAUAGGUUCAAAUCCUAUAAGGUGCU